rnacentral:rRNA from 1 species
CGAAAGCCUGAUGGAGCAACGCCGCGUGCAGGAUGAAGGCUUUCGGGUCGUAAACUGCUUUUAUUUGUGACGAUUAUGACAGUAGCAAAUGAAUAAGGGUCGGCUAACUACGUGCCAGCAGCCGCGGUCAUACGUAGGACCCAAGCGUUAUCCGGAAUUACUGGGCGUAAAGAGUUGCGUAGGUGGCAUGUUAAGCGGGUAGUGAAAUCGUGUGGCUCAACCAUACAAACAUUAUCUGAACUGGCAAGCUAGAGUGCUAUAGAGGUUACUGGAAUUCCAAGUGUAGGAGUGAAAUCCGUAGAUAUUUGGAGGAACACCGAUGGCGUAGGCAGGUAACUGGAUAGCAACUGACACUGAGGCACGAAAGCGUGGGGAGCA